AAUCGUGAGCUGAAUGCGAGUCAGGUCGACCAAUUAAAAUGCACCCGGUAUUUCAUCACAGAUUUACUCGGCAGCGCUGCAAUGUUAGACGCAAACAAACGCACGCAUUACAUAAAAAUGUAUAAGUGAUAAGAAUGCGUGAAGUCACCGGCACUGAGGUGAUAUAUAAGUCGCCUACGUGUCGUACAGGUAGCGCAUACGACUCGCAGCAAUUGUUCAGCGCAGGUCACUCUUCUUUCAAAUCCUGCAGAGACCAGAGCACAGCACAGUGAAAACCCGAGGUGCAAAACUGGGUACUGAUCGAUAAACAACGCCCUGCAAAUCAACAAAGAGGAUUGGUUCGAUCAUUAUCCCAGUUCAUGCAGCAAAUGGGAAAAAUCCUCCAACGCGUAAUUCGAAAAUAAAGAGAGCUAUCUGUCGACAGUACAGCUUUUAAAUUCACUGUCAUGGAGUUGCUCUCUUUAUGGGCGGGUUACCGAUCUGCAUAAAUGAACCAUGGACGUCUAUUGCGCUUAUUUAAAUAAGUCACGUUUCUGUAUAUUUAUCUAUAUGCCAUGAAAUUUCAAGAUGUAUUUUGUGUUAUAUAAUAUAGAAAUUUAUUAAU